GGCGGGUUGGCGUAAUGGUAACGCGUCAGUUUCCGGUCGAGUUAGCAAGCCCAGCUGAAGAAUCCGGGUUCGAGUCCCGGGCCUGUCG
rfam:Termitomyces sp. J132 unplaced genomic scaffold scaffold278, whole genome shotgun sequence.